rnacentral:rRNA from 1 species
GACGAACGCUGGCGGCGUGCUUAACACAUGCAAGUCGAACGGAAAGGCCCUGCUUUUGUGGGGUGCUCGAGUGGCGAACGGGUGAGUAACACGUGAGUAACCUGCCCUUGACUUUGGGAUAACUUCAGGAAACUGGGGCUAAUACCGGAUAGGAGCUCCUGCUGCAUGGUGGGGGUUGGAAAGUUUCGGCGGUUGGGGAUGGACUCGCGGCUUAUCAGCUUGUUGGUGGGGUAGUGGCUUACCAAGGCUUUGACGGGUAGCCGGCCUGAGAGGGUGACCGGCCACAUUGGGACUGAGAUACGGCCCAGACUCCUACGGGAGGCAGCAGUGGGGAAUAUUGCACAAUGGGCGGAAGCCUGAUGCAGCAACGCCGCGUGCGGGAUGACGGCCUUCGGGUUGUAAACCGCUUUCGCCUGUGACGAAGCGUGAGUGACGGUAAUGGGUAAAGAAGCACCGGCUAACUACGUGCCAGCAGCCGCGGUGAUACGUAGGGUGCGAGCGUUGUCCGGAUUUAUUGGGCGUAAAGGGCUCGUAGGUGGUUGAUCGCGUCGGAAGUGUAAUCUUGGGGCUUAACCCUGAGCGUGCUUUCGAUACGGGUUGACUUGAGGAAGGUAGGGGAGAAUGGAAUUCCUGGUGGAGCGGUGGAAUGCGCAGAUAUCAGGAGGAACACCAGUGGCGAAGGCGGUUCUCUGGGCCUUUCCUGACGCUGAGGAGCGAAAGCGUGGGGAGCGAACAGGCUUAGAUACCAUGGUAGUCCACGCUGUAAACGGUGGGUACUAGGCGUGGGGUCCAUUCCACGGGUUCCGUGCCGUAGCUAACGCUUUAAGUACCCCGCCUGGGGAGUACGGCCGCAAGGCUAAAACUCAAAGGAAUUGACGGGGCCCCGCACAAGCGGCGGAGCAUGCGGAUUAAUUCGAUGCAACGCGUAGAACCUUACCUGGGUUUGACAUGGAUCGGGAGUGCUCAGAGAUGGGUGUGCCUCUUUUGGGGUCGGUUCACAGGUGGUGCAUGGCUGUCGUCAGCUCGUGUCGUGAGAUGUUGGGUUAAGUCCCGCAACGAGCGCAACCCUUGUUCACUGUUGCCAGCACGUUAUGGUGGGGACUCAGUGGAGACCGCCGGGGUCAACUCGGAGGAAGGUGGGGAUGACGUCAAGUCAUCAUGGCCCUUAUGUCCAGGGCUUCACGCAUGCUACAAUGGCUGGUACAGAGAGUGGCGAGCCUGUGAGGGUGAGCGAAUCUCGGAAAGCCGGUCUCAGUUCGGAUUGGGGUCUGCAACUCGACCUCCUGAAGUCGGAGUCGCUAGUAAUCGCAGAUCAGCAACGCUGCGGUGAAUACGUUCGCCGGGGCU